rnacentral:tRNA from 1 species
GCCCCCGUAGCUCAGCGGAUAGAGCAGGUGCCUUCUAAGCACUUGGCCGUAGGUUCGAGUCCUACCGGGGGCGCCA